UGUGUGCCCAUCCCAGAAGUGUCCUGAGCCCUGUCCUCCUCCAAAGUGCCCAGAGCCUUGUCCUCCUCCAAAGUGCCCAGAACCUUGUCCUCCCCAAAAGUGCCCAGAGCCAUGUCCUCCUCCAAAGUGCCCUGAACCGUGCGCUCCUCAGCCAUGCCAGCAGAAAUGCCCUCCUGUCCAAACUCCUCCACCAUGCCAGCAGAAAUGCCCACCCAAAAGCAAGUGAAAGCUUUAGCAAUCAUCAAGACCAAGAGAAGACAAGGUGCAUCAUGUACUUCCAAAGCAACACCUCCAUCUUCCCUUCAAAACCUCUCAUGGAUGCAGAAGAACCUUCCCCACCCUUUACCCUCCCUCUACAUACCACUGAUAAUUUCUGAUUGGAAAAGAGCUUCUCUGAGUGUAUUCCCCUGCUGCUAUCAAGAGAUUGCCAGAAAUGGCCCUUUGGUAGUCUAGUAUUCCUGAUGCUCAGAAGGAAGAAUAGCAGGUGGUGUCCCAAUGCCCUCAGUGGAACCUUCUCACUGUUCCUGUCACUUAGGCAGGGGAUUACACAACUUGGACAAUUGUUACUGAUGUAAUAAAAAAAUUUUAAAAAAGAACUAAA
rnacentral:lncRNA from 1 species